rnacentral:rRNA from 1 species
CCUACGGGAGGCUGCAGUGGGGGAUAUUGCACAAUGGGGGGAACCCUGAUGCAGCGACGCCGCGUGGGUGAAGAAGCGCCUCGGCGCGUAAAGCCCUGUCAGCAGGGAAGAAAAUGACGGUACCUGAAGAAGAAGCCCCGGCUAACUACGUGCCAGCAGCCGCGGUAAUACGUAGGGGGCAAGCGUUAUCCGGCGUUACUGGGUGGAAAGGGGGCGCAGACGGCGAUGCAAGCCAGGAGUGAAAGCCCGGGGCCCAACCCCGGGACUGCGCUUGGAACUGCGUGGCUGGAGUGCAGGAGGGGCAGGCGGAAUGCCUGGUGUAGCGGUGAAAUGCGUAGAUAUCAGGAGGAACACCGGUGGCGAAGGCGGCCUGCUGGACUGCAACUGACGUUGAGGCCCGAAAGCGUGGGGAGCAAACAGGAUUAGAUACCCGAGUAGUC